UGCAAUGCCAAAAGGAACCUUGCCUGGUUGGGCUCGGUGUUUGUAUAUAUUUAAAAGUAUUUCAAGUUAAACUGGCAUAUAUAGAAUCACAACGAUGAUGCUAGGUUAGUCAUGAACGUCAAAGGAGUUACAGUGCUAAAAACAGUGUCUCGGACUUAAACAGCAAUGAAUGGUGCCGGUGCCGACACGAUGCCCACCAAGGUGAUUUCUUUCGAGCGCAUACACUGCGGCUGUUAGACACUACCCGGAGAUGUAAUGCAGUGGCACACAUUCGACAAGGAAGAACAGCAAGCUUGGAAAGCUUGUUUCGGGGAAGAUUGCCCAUUUGAUGAAAUUAUCUUCUAUUAUACAUAAAUAUAAUACAGGCCUCACUUGGGAU